UGAACAUACCUACUGUUGCUUCGGCGGGAUUGCCCCGGGCGCCUCGUGUGCCCCGGAUCAGGCGCCCGCCUAGGAAACUUAACUCUUGUUUUAUUUUGGAAUCUUCUGAGUAGUUUUUACAAAUAAAUAAAAACUUUCAACAACGGAUCUCUUGGUUCUGGCAUCGAUGAAGAACGCAGCGAAAUGCGAUAAGUAAUGUGAAUUGCAGAAUUCAGUGAAUCAUCGAAUCUUUGAACGCACAUUGCGCCCGCCAGUAUUCUGGCGGGCAUGCCUGUCUGAGCGUCAUUUCAACCCUCAUGCCCCUAGGGCGUGGUGUUGGGGAUCGGCCAAAGCCCGCGAGGGACGGCCGGCCCCUAAAUCUAGUGGCGGACCCGUCGUGGCCUCCUCUGCGAAGUAGUGAUAUUCCGCAUCGGAGAGCGAUGAGCCCCUGCCGUUAAACCCCCAACUUUCCAAGGUUGACCUCAGAUCAGGUAGGAAUACCCGCUGAACUUAAGCAUAUCAAUAAGCGGAGGAAC
rnacentral:rRNA from 1 species